UUGCUUUAAUUUAAUCAUAGACUUAGACAUAUGACACGAUUUAUUCAGAGUUUAAGUGGUUGGCUAUCGGCGGACGCUGGCCAGAGGACGCCUUUCAGCGGUCCUCCGGCGGCCGUGAGACGGGUCCGCCGAAGCAACAGAGGUUCAAUAAACAAAGGGUUGGGAGAUCGGGCCUAGAAGACCCUAACUCUUUAAUGAUCCUUCCGCAGGUUCACCUACGGAAA
rnacentral:misc_RNA from 1 species